rnacentral:rRNA from 1 species
ACGGAGGGAGCUAGCGUUAUUCGGAAUUACUGGGCGUAAAGCGCACGUAGGCGGCUUUGUAAGUCAGAGGUGAAAGCCCGGAGCUUAACCCCAGAACUGCCUUUGAGACUGCAUUGCUUGAAUCCAGGAGAGGUGAGUGGAAUUCCGGGUGUAGAGGUGAAAUUCGUAGAGAUUGGGAGGAACACCAGUGGCGUAGGCGGCUCACUGGACUGGUAUUGACGCUGAGGUGCGAAAGCGUGGGGAGCAAACAG